CAUGUCCUUUUGAUUAUAAUUUAAGGUCUAAUCUGCUCAAUGAUGAAAUUAAAUUGCCGCGGUAUUUUGACCGUGCAAAGGUAGCAUAAUAAUUAGUUUUUUUAUUGAAAGCUGGAAUGAAUGAUUGGACGAGAAAAUAACUGUCUCUUUUUGAUUAAAUAUUUAAUUUAACUUUUAAGUAAAAAGGCUUAAAUUUUUAUUAAAGACGAGAAGACCCUAUAGAGUUUAAUAUUUUUACUUUUGUUUAUUUUAUAGAAUUAGCUUAUUUUCAUAAGUAUUUUAUUUAGUUGGGGUGACUGGAAGAUUCAAUAAACUCUUCUAAGUUUAGGAUCAAUGAUUUUUGAAUUUUUUAUCUAAUUUUUUAAAUUUAAGAUAAAUUACCUUAGGGAUAACAGCGUGAUUUUUUUUUAGAGUUCUUAUCGAAAAAAAAGUUUGCGACCUCGAUGUUGGAUUAAAAUUAAUCUCUGGCGCAGAAGUUGGGGUAUUAAGUCUGUUCGACUUUUAAAAUUUUACAUGAUCUGAGU
rnacentral:rRNA from 1 species